UGGGGAAUCUUGCGCAAUGGGGGCAACCCUGACGCAGCGACGCCGCGUGCGGGACGAAGGCCUUCGGGUCGUAAACCGCUUUCAGCAGGGACGAGACAAGACGGUACCUGCAGAAGAAGCCCCGGCUAACUACGUGCCAGCAGCCGCGGUAAUACGUAGGGGGCGAGCGUUAUCCGGAUUCAUUGGGCGUAAAGCGCGCGUAGGCGGCCGCGUAGGCGGGGGGUCAAAUCCCGGGGCUCAACCCCGGUCCGCCCCCCGAACCCCGCGGCUCGGGUCCGGUAGGGGAGGGUGGAAUUCCCGGUGUAGCGGUGGAAUGCGCAGAUAUCGGGAGGAACACCGGUGGCGAAGGCGGCCCUCUGGGCCGAGACCGACGCUGAGGCGCGAAAGCUGGGGGAGCGAACA
rnacentral:rRNA from 1 species